rnacentral:rRNA from 1 species
CUGGCUCAGAACGAACGCUGGCGGCGCGUUUAAGCAUGCAAGUCGAGCGGCAAGGGCCUUCGGGCCCCUAGAGCGGCGGACGGGUGAGUAACACGUGGACAAUCUGCCCCCCGGCCCGGGAUAGCCCAGGGAAACCUGGAUUAAUACCGGAUGAGACGGGACCCGCGAUGGCGGGACCCGGGAAAGGCGCUGCGGCGCCGCCGGGGGAUGAGUCUGCGUCCCAUUAGCUAGACGGCGGGGUAACGGCCCACCGUGGCGACGAUGGGUAGCCGGCCUGAGAGGGUGGACGGCCACAUUGGAACUGAGACACGGUCCAGACUCCUACGGGAGGCAGCAGCUAAGAAUCUUCCGCAAUGGGCGAAAGCCUGACGGAGCGACGCCGCGUGAACGAAGAAGGCCGUGAGGUUGUAAAGUUCUUUUCGGGAGGGGGAACAACCGUGGCAGGGAAUGGCCGCGGGAUGACGUGAAUCCCGGAAUAAGCCCCGGCUAACUACGUGCCAGCAGCAGC